GACGAACGCUGGCGGCGUGCUUAACACAUGCAAGUCGAACGGAAAGGCCCUGCUUUUGUGGGGUGCUCGAGUGGCGAACGGGUGAGUAACACGUGAGUAACCUGCCCUUGACUUUGGGAUAACUUCAGGAAACUGGGGCUCAUACCGGAUAGGAGCUCCUGCUGCAUGGUGGGGGUUGGAAAGUUUCGGCGGUUGGGGAUGGACUCGCGGCUUAUCAGCUUGUUGGUGGGGUAGUUGCUUACCAAGGCUUUGACGGGUAGCCGGCCUGAGAGGUGGACCGGCGACAAGGGGCCUACGAUACGGCCCAGUCUCGAAUGGGAGGCAGAAGUGGGGAAUCUUGCAGAAUGGGGGGAAGCGUGAUGCAGCGACGCCGCGUGCGUGAUGACGGCCUUCGGGUUGUAAACCGCUUUCGCCUGUGACGAAGCGUGAGUGACGGUAAUGGGUAAAGAAGCACCGGCUAACUACGUG
rnacentral:rRNA from 1 species